UGACAAGGCUGCAGGGGGAAGGCUCAUAGGAAACAUUCUCCUUUGCCAGGUGUGGGAAGGGCCCUGGACAUGCUGUGUCGACUGUCCAGUACCGCUGUCCCUGCCACCAGGGAGUGGGGCGGAAGAGCCAGCCUUGGUGGUGCUACUGUGGGAAGGAGCUGUCAUUACAGCGCCCGUUUUGCAGAUGGGAACACAGAGGCCUCAGGAAGCAAAGUCACUUGUGAAGCUCACAGUUGCAGCACCCGGUCUGCCAGACACACUGUGCAAAUUGCUGCCCUGGUGGAAGAGGUCAUGUGGCAGGAUCGAGGGGCCUGGGGCCUGGCCCCUAUCUGCUGUGGCCCGAGCGACCUUCACACAUCCCGUGCUCCGGGCCGGGAGCCACCCUCUCCACAGUGACAGUGUCUCACAGUGGCCCGGGCUGGGAGCCGGGCUGCCUGCGCUGCUCUGCAUAAGCAGUUUCACAGGCCAUUUCAUGAGCACCUAUUACAAUCCAGGAUGUGCACCAGACACUGGGGACGCAAGAUGAGUGGGACACAGCCCCUGACCCUAAGGU